UACGAAGGGGGCUAGCGUUGCUCGGAAUCACUGGGCGUAAAGCGCACGUAGGCGGCUUCUUAAGUCAGGGGUGAAAUCCUGGAGCUCAACUCCAGAACUGCCUCUGAUACUGAGGAGCUCGAGUCCGGGAGAGGUGAGUGGAACUCCGAGUGUAGAGGUGAAAUUCGUAGAUAUUCGGAAGAGCACCAGUGGCGAAGGCGGCUCACUGGCCCGGUACUGACGCUGGAGGUGCGAAAGCGUGGGGAGCAAACAGG
rnacentral:rRNA from 1 species